ensembl:snRNA U6 U6 spliceosomal RNA
GUGCUCACUUGGGCAGCACAUAUACUAAACUUGGAACAAUACGAGGAGAUUAACAUAGACCCUGCACCAGGAUGGCAUGCAAAUUUGUGACGUGUUCCAUAUUAAA